GUGAAAAAUGAGGAUAGCUUUAACAUUCAAGCUGACGCUGCUGAGCUGGUUGGUGGACAAGAUGUCAUUGAUGACUCCAGUUCUUCUAAGGCAGCCUGGGCUAGUAUGCGACCAACUGUGUUAUGUACUAAGGACCUCAUGAAGUUCUCGACACAAGGCCCAGGAUCCGCUUCACUUCAGCUAGACAGAGCAGGAGGAACACUGCUCAAGCUAAACCAGCUGCCGCAGGACUGUGGCUACUCUGUGUACAGGACCAUACUGGGCUUUGUGUUUCUCAUCCCCUAUGAUGGUUGUGAUGUUAUAAAUCAGGGUGGCAACCAUUUGCUCCAGAUGUUAUGGCAAGGCAAUCCAGUAACCCUUUCUUGCCCCAUGUCAACCCAAGCCUCUCAAUCUCCUAUGGAUCCACCACUUAUCCAUCCAUCAGCUCCCACUACUGAAGCUCCAUGUACUACAGAAGCAACGUCAUCCACUGCCUCUAAGCUUCCCCCACAACAUCAGCAGCAGCAGCAGCAGCAGCAACAGUUGAUGCACUCUGACU